UUAGUCUCUCUCCUGGAGCACGUGAUCCAAAGUAGAUAUUGUCAUAUAUCAGUUCCGAGCACUUCGCAGACGUAGGAGGGGUUCUCUCUUAGGAACUCUUACCGCCAACCCGCAGAGGGCCAGCGCCAGUAUAGAAGAGUUUGAAGAAGGGGCUUCUCUUCCUGACCAAGGCUGGGUGUCAUCGAGACUCCCUUUUCCCUUUGGAGAGACUCCCCAGAAGAGCAACUGAAGUUUCCCAAAGGUCUGCCAGCCUCCUGGAUGGCUGCAGCCCAAGGAGUGGACUCAGUGGUUCUGCCCUCGCUUGCCUCACAUACCUCCAGAUGCCGCAGGACACAUCUGGCCAGCUGAAAAUCACUCUAUUGAAAGGUUCUGGACUCGGUGCCAGAGCAACCGCCAGGAGCAGAAAGCAACCUUGGAUCCAAGGAGGAACCGCCAGGGCACCAUUUGUUUGAUUUGUUUGGGUAGGAGGGGAGGAACUGAAGCCCUCAAGGAUUCAGUCCAUUGUGCUCUCAGGGAAAGCCAGAAAUGGCCCCAAACCUCUUUACAUCCAUAACUCUUGGUUAAAGUUGGUUUCCACUUUAAAAAUAUUAUUUGAAUUUGAUUUUCCUUGCUGAACUUGAUGAGGUACUGAGACCCCAAAAAACCAGAUGGGGAAGCCACAAAAAAUGGUAACUUGUCCCUAAAUACAGCCCCCCAAAUCCAUUUCUUCACAACCCUCUGGGUUCCCCCCAAAUUACCUCAGGCUUUAGAGCAACACCUGAGGUGAAGCCACCUCGGCCAUGCAUCCCAGUCUUCGGGUGGCUCUGGAAUACCCAGGGACAGGCCGCUGGCACCCCCUCCCCAUUCUUUGCUGGGCACUGCUUCCUGAGCCCUUCCUUAGUCCUAGUCAGAUCUUAACUGAGGGCAGAGAAGAACUAGAUUGGGGCUUCGCUAAAGUGUGAGACUUCUCUGUCGGCAAGGGGUUGCAAGAAGAAAAAUCUGUUGCUUUUCCUCCUUCCUUUACCCCUUUUUAUAGAGUGAGCUGGGGCCAGAAUUUUUAAUUAUAAUGAUGGGGAACUAUGGACUAUGGCUUUUAUGGGGUUCGUGCUGACAUCAUUAAGCUUGAGUUUAUUGGAGGCAAAAUGCUCCCCAAACAGUGAUAGGAGCCAGCAAGAGGCACCCACAUCCCUUGCAGAUGUGUGGAGGGGCUGAAUCUCAGCUGUGGCUUUCCCCACUUCCCUUCAGGGCCCAGCCUCCUUCCCGAUCCUGGCCUCCAGGGCGAUGUGGGGCCCAAGCCCCCAAGGCGAAUUCUGUACCGCCAGGGCUGCCAGUGGGGAGGGGGUGCGCUUCCUGUGAGGAGACAGCUGUGGGCCUAAGCACUUGAAUUUGACCACCAAAGUUUAUUCCAGGGCCACCAUAAAAGUGAGCCAGGCGGCUGCAAGAAGCUGCUGGCGGCUCUAUUUCCUUGAAACAAAAAAGAAAGGUAAGAAAGAAUGUCAAAGGAGUUGAUGUCCAGGCAACACUAGGGUCACCCAACAGAGGCUUCUGAGAAUUAAUAUUCUUCCCCCUGAAAGCAAGGCACAAAGUUCAAUUUUUUUUCUAGUUUUGGUCUGACUUUGAACUUUUCAACAACUUUUAAAAAUCCCAGCAACUGGAGAUUGCUACUGGGGUCAAGGAGAGAAGGCCCCAGCCGUUGAGGUCAGCGAAGCAUUGAUUGGCAAAAAAAAUGUGCAUGGGAUGGGCUAGUGGCCCCUGCCUGACUCUAGAUUCAAGGGGCUCUGCAGUAUAGACUGAGCUGCCUGCUCCAGGCUGCCCCCCAGGGCAUCAGUGCCUCCCUAGACAUAAGAUUCAUCGUGGCCCCAGAUUGGUUCCCAAGAACCCUGGCAUGCUGCACUCCCUGGGGUGGAGGCGGCUUUUUUCUCUUGUCUCCUGGGUGCCUGUGGCCCCUCUGCUGUCCUGGAGUCUCAGCUUUCACCCGAAAUUCUCUGCCCCGCGCGGCUAUCCUGCCUGUCCCACUGGCUCUUGGUGACUUCAGUCAGCAUCGCCUGCCUGCCUAGCUGCUAGCAGGCAGCUGGGGUCUGAGCAGCUGUCACGUACUCUGGCCAGGGCCACGACAGACUACAGCACCCUUCCCGUCCCCAGUGGGACACCACAGGCAGCUCCAGAAGGGGUCAGUAACUCCUGAAUGUGGCUCAGGAGACUCCAGUGCAGCACCCCAACACAGCCCUGGGCCACCUUGCCACGGGUCCACCUUCUGCAGCUGCUCUGGACUCUAGAGAGCAGAUUGUGGUGGGGAAAGGAGCCCACCCUACAGACCUUGAACUGGGAGGCAAAGCCAGGGAGGAGGAAGGGGGCCUUUAGAAUUCUGGUGGACUUGGACUGGAAGUUCAGUUGCGAGUGGAGUCCCUAAAACGAUAAGCAACAAGCGCGUGGACACCCUCAUCGGUUCUGAGGCUGAGCAGGCAACGGUGAGCCCUCCUGAGAAGUCGGCUUGCACAUUUUGCACAUUUCUCUCCCUUAGAGUAAUACCGCUGCGUUUAAUAAUCCCUCUAGUGUGCUUGGGGAUUUUCAGGCCAGUGGUUUAUACUGCACCAGGUACACCUCCCACCCCCAGCCAGGGAACUAAGAGGCGGUAGGACUGCCAGUUCUCGGCCCCCAUUUCUCCUUAGCCCCGGCCAUCACCUCAAGCCCAAGGCCCCAAGUCAGGCCACGUAAGCCGGUGGACGCUGCUCCGUGGUUCCCCAGGCCCCUGGACUGGAUGGGGGGAGGGAGAAGGGCAGCUCUUCCGCCCCCGCAGCCCCACCCACUUUCCUCUGUGGAGGGAUUGUCCCAGGAGGCUAGCAAGUCGACCCCAUUUCUCCCCAUAAAAGUCCCAUUUUACGAGCCAGUUUCACUGGCCCCCUCACAAAUGCUCUAAAAUGAAGGAAAUGUCUUAAAAGCAGUCUGGAAAUGGAGCCGCUACCAUUGGACCUUGUUUUCCAAACUCAGUUGCAGCAGCAUAGAAAAUGCCUUUUCUGGGCAAGAUGGCCCUCCUGGGCCACCCGGAUCUCUGGCCUGGCCGCCGGGAGGAUGCUGGGUUGGCUGAAGCCGCCAUUCCCUGGCUUUAGCGCCUGCUUAGGCUCGGACCCAGUCCGUGCAGAUCAAAGUGAGCUCGUGGCAUUUUUAUGAGAUCAACUUCAGUGCCUCUUUACUUGUAAUCAGACGCCUGGGUCGAAAAUGCAAAAGGGAACAGCCCAUCAAUCCAAAAAGGAAAAGGAGAGAGAGAGAGAGAGAGAGAGAAAGAGAGAGAGAGAGAGAGAAAGAGAUGUGGAGUGAAAAAAUUCAGGUGACACAUAGCAAGAUUCUGGUCACUAACAAAAAAGAUCCUUUGCCUGCAGCAAGAAUGGUUUGUAGGUCUGUCCCAGCCUCCAGGCCCUGCCGUCUGCCUGCACAUUUCCCCCAAUUUCCCGGAGCCAGGAGCCUGACUCGCCUGUGUUCUGAAGCUUGAUCCAAAACCUUCCACAGUGUGACACUGUACAUGGGUGCUACCCUGGAGGAAAAGGAUCAAGGAUUCCACUUCAGGCUCCUCUCUCCGGGCGUCUUUGGUUUGGCGAGCCUGCCGGCUGCCCAGAGCCCAGGCCGCCGCCGCUGCUGCUCCGGAACUCCCUUUCCCUCCAGCGCGCCGCCUCACUCUCGCCGUCUCCCUGCCUCCCUCCAUCCUACCGCUGCCCCAGCUCUCAGACCAACAAAUAUCUAGUAUACUUGUUUCUCCGCACCCAAGGCCUCGGCUGAGCCGGCUCAGCGCUCUGGGAUCGCUGCCGGAUCCCCGGGUCCUUGCGCGGGCGCCCUUCGCUCCCACUCCUGUCGGCGGCAGGCUCUUCCUUUACUCCUUGCCGGGUUAAAAUGCUUCUCUCUCGCUUUCCUGCCUCUCCCCCUUUCUUUCCGCCUCUGGAUGUGAGAAAUAAAUAAAUCCAAGCCUCCUACCCCAUCAACCCUCCCCACUCGUGCUGCCUCACUUGUCCUCCUUACCGAAUGUACCGCCUUGUUUUCAGAAGGAAAUCUUAAUAGACAUUUAAGCUGUAAAUGAACUUUUUCUUUGUGACGGCUAAUUUUCUCUCAAAUUUACACCCUGCUCCGUUUCGUGGUGAAAUAGCAGGGAGUUAGAAGUCUGCUGUAGAGGAGGAGGGGAGUGGGGAGCUCAGGGUUACAGGCAGUGGCGAGAGAGACGCAAGAUCGAGAGAUAGAGAAAAGAGG